CUCGGGUUCAUCGGCACUUUGGGGGCUAAAGGUCGACCUGGGCCUGCUGGUCCUCCCGGUCUUCCAGGCACUAAAGGAAUUCGGGGGGCAAAGGGAAAAAGAGCCCAGCGUGGAAGGAAAGGAAACAAAGGAGCUCCUGGAAAAACUGGAGCUGAAGGCCCACUGGGUCGACCAGGACCUGCUGGAAGACCUGGA